AUGAACGCUAGCGACAGGCCUAACACAUGCAAGUCGAGGGGCAACGGGGCGUAGCAAUACGCUGCCGGCGACCGGCGGAUGGGUGAGUAACGCGUAUGCAACCUGCCUUCAGCAGGGGGAUAGCCCGUUGAAAGACGGAUUAAUACCCCAUAACACAGGGGCUCCGCAUGGAGAUUAUUGUUAAAGGGAUGCUUCCUUCGGGGGUAUUCCGGCUGAAGAUGGGCAUGCGUUCCAUUAGGUAGUUGGUUGAGGUAACGGCUCACCAAGCCUACGAUGGAUAGGGGAACUGAGAGGUUGGUCCCCCACACUGGUACUGAGACACGGACCAGACUCCUACGGGAGGCAGCAGUGAGGAAUCUUGGUCAAUGGACGGAAGUCUGAACCAGCCAUGUUGCGUGAAGGAGGACGGCCCUAAGGGUUGUAAACUUCUUUUGCAGCGGAAUAAAGUAUUCCACGUGAUGGGAUAUUGCAAGUACGCUGCGAAUAAGGAUCGGCUAACUCCGUG
rnacentral:rRNA from 1 species